rnacentral:rRNA from 1 species
UACGUAGGGGGCAAGCGUUGUCCGGAAUCAUUGGGCGUAAAGCGCGUGUAGGCGGCUCGAUAAGUCCGCUCUGAAAGUCCAGGGCUCAACCCUGGGAUGCCGGUGGAUACUGUCGGGCUCGAGUCCGGAAGAGGAGUGUGGAAUUCCUGGUGUAGCAGUGAAAUGCGCAGAUAUCAGGAGGAACACCAAUGGCGAAGGCAGCACUCUGGGACGUGACUGACGCUGAGACGCGAAAGCGUGGGGAGCAAACAGG